rnacentral:rRNA from 1 species
CACGUAGGGUGCGAGCGUUGUCCGGAAUUAUUGGGCGUAAAGAGCUCGUAGGCGGUUUGUCGCGUCGUUUGUGAAAACCAGCAGCUCAACUGCUGGCUUGCAGGCGAUACGGGCAGACUUGAGUACUGCAGGGGAGACUGGAAUUCCUGGUGUAGCGGUGAAAUGCGCAGAUAUCAGGAGGAACACCGGUGGCGAAGGCGGGUCUCUGGGCAGUAACUGACGCUGAGGAACGAAAGCGUGGGUAGCGAACAGG